AACGAACGCUGGCGGCGCGCCUAAUACAUGCAAGUCGAGCGAGAAGACGUAGCAAUACGUUUGUAAAGCGGCGAACGGGUGAGGAAUACAUGGGUAACCUACCCUCGAGUGGGGAAUAACUAGCCGAAAGGUUAGCUAAUACCGCGUACGCUCCUUGGACUUCGGUUCAGGGAGGAAAGCGAUACCGUGGGUAUCGCGCUCUUGGAUGGGCUCAUGUCCUAUCAGCUUGUUGGUGAGGUAACGGCUCACCAAGGCUUCGACGGGUAGCUGGUCUGAGAGGACAAUCAGCCACACUGGCACUGCGACACGGGCCAGACUCCUACGGGAGGCAGCAGUAAGGAAUAUUGCGCAAUGGGCGAAAGCCUGACGCAGCGACGCCGCGUGGGGGAUGAAGGUCUUCGGAUUGUAAACCCCUUUCGGGAGGGAAGAUGGAACGAGCAUCGUCGGACGGUACCUCCAGAAGCAGCCACGGCUAACUUCGUGCCAGCAGCCGCGGUAA
rnacentral:rRNA from 1 species